AACGAACGCUGGCGGCAGGCUUAACACAUGCAAGUCGAACGCCCCGCAAGGGGAGUGGCAGACGGGUGAGUAACGCGUGGGAACAUACCCUUUUCUACGGAAUAGCUCUGGGAAACUGGAAUUAAUACCGUAUACGCCCUACGGGGGAAAGAUUUAUCGGGGAAGGAUUGGCCCGCGUUGGAUUAGCUAGUUGGUGGGGUAAAGGCCUACCAAGGCGACGAUCCAUAGCUGGUCUGAGAGGAUGAUCAGCCACAUUGGGACUGAGACACGGCCCAAACUCCUACGGUAGGCAGCAGUGGGGAAGAUUGGACAAUGGGCGCAAGCCUGAUCCAGCCAUGCCGCGUGAGUGAUGAAGGCCUUAGGGUUGUAAAGCUCUUUCACCGAUGAAGAUAAUGACGGUAGUCGGAGAAGAAGCCCCGGCUAACUUCGU
rnacentral:rRNA from 1 species